CCUCCAACUGUUUGUCCAGCAAAUCUCGUUUCACUCACCAAAGGCCUGGAGAAAACCCAGGGAGAGGUACUGGAAAGAACGAGUUCCACAAAGGUCACGCCGUGAGGGUGGCUCCUCAGACCGCCACGGACCGCAUAAAGACACAUCUCCUGAAAUAGCAGCGCCAUCAGAGCCAAGCUAUGGUCUUGACGUGGCAAGUUCAAGAAUGAGGAAGUAAGCGAUGGACACCUCGAAACUCCUCGUGAAUGGGGCUGCUUUGGUUGAGGGGCUAAGGUUAAAGACGCAGGGCAGCAUGAAGCACCAUGGCGUAACCACAACCCAAAGUACGUGUAUCUGCAUCAAACCAGACGGAAACCGGCUCACUCCCUUCAGUAACAGGACCCAUUCUGCGUGCAUGUGUGACUUCAGUAUGUGUCCGUCUGCUGUUGGGGUGGAUCCCUGAGAGCCCCAGUUCCCAUCCAUCAAUAACCUAAUAGCCACUGAAGCCUGUGCGACAUCUGCAGGGAGAACACUGGCACUAAAAGUCAAACUUUCUCAUUUAUGGGGCCAAGGCAUUCUGGGAAGAAAGAUGAUGGGCACAAAAGGGUCCAAAAUAGUGACCAGGAACCCUAGACACCCACACUUACAGGAGGAUGACCUCACGAGGUGGGAUCCAAAGGGAGGGCCCGCUUAUGCCAUGGCCCAUGCAAACUCUCUACUCCCUGAACACACUUGCUCCCAGAGGCCCAGCUCUCACCUGGAUGCAUCUGUCUCCUCACUGCUGUGCUGUGAGCUUGGUUCCAGAAGACCCUGCCCAGCAAGCCUGUGUCCUGAUGCCAAAGCGGAGUCCCACCUAUGACCCUGACCAGGCCAGUCUUGGCCUGCAAUCUUCUGUCUCGCUGUGCAGACUGAGGCCUGACUUCCUGACCCCUAAAGCAUAGACUCUUGGCUGGCUAGGGCAUGAGUCCUAAUAGCGACACCUUUCCCUACACUUGCUUGUACUUCAAGCCCAACCCUUGACUCUCAGUCACAGACAGCAUCAAGAAAGUCUUCGAAUCACCUUUUCCCUGAUCCAAUCCUGCCUGGCCUCCUUCGGAUCCUCUAUGAAACUUGUGCUCUCAAAACUUUAAAAACUCAUUCCUGAGACAAGAUAGGCCCGUCCUAUUCAAGUUGAAUGGCAGCUGUGUCAUUGGUUACGCAAUAUUGAGGACCCCUGUCACAGUCUUCAGUGGGCCAAAGGCUUGCUAUGGUGCUAAGCUCAUCCCCAGGGACUCAAUAAAACUUUUUCAUCUAUGUUUACAUAGA